AUUGAACGCUGGCGGCAGGCCUAACACAUGCAAGUCGAACGAGUGGCGGACGGGUGAGUAAUGUCUGGGAAACUGCCUGAUGGAGGGGGAUAACUACUGGAAACGGUAGCUAAUACAGCAUACCAUCAGAUGGGCCCAGAUGGGAUUAGCUAGUUGGUGGGGUAACGGAUCACCAAGGCGACUAGCCCUAGCUGGUCUGAGAGGAUGACCAACCACACUGGAACUGCGACACGGUCCGGACUCCUACGGGAGGCAGCAGUGGGGAAUAUUGGACAAUGGGGGCAAGCCUUAUGCAGCCAUGCCGCGUGGAUGAAGAAGGCCUUCGGGUUGUAAAGGAUGUUCCGCGUGGAGGCGUUACCCGCUGAAGAAGCACCGGCUAACUCCGUGCCAGCAGCCGCGGUAAUUC
rnacentral:rRNA from 1 species